CCGUGCUAGGCGGGGAGUCAGCGGUGCCCUGUACCCGCAAUCCGCUAUAGCGGGGCUGAAUUCCUGUUCGCGAUUCGCCCAAGCAAGCCUGGCCGAACUAGAGAAGUGUUGAAACCUUGGUCCUGCGUGGGCAGGACUUACAAACCCCGUCAGGUCCGGAAGGAAGCAGCGGUAAGUAGGACCCCUGUACGCCGUAGGGAAGCUAGGGUGGAACUUAGCUGGCUCGAGCUUCAGUUACUUGGACGCAACCAAGAGCAGGUGCACGG
rnacentral:SRP_RNA from 1 species